AUAGACUCAGAUUCAAGUUCCGAAGUAAUUACACACAUAGAAAUUCAAAAAGAAAUCGAUGUGAUCCACGUCAUAAUUCAUAUUGGAUUCCCAAAUUUAUUAAUGAAAAAAGAAGCAAUCGCAGAAUUAGAGAAAGGUCUACAAAAGGAAAUUAGCUUUGUAAACCCGAGAUUUAAUAUUUUUAUUGGAAAAGUUAAAGAACCUUAUAGACAACCUAAUAUAUUGACUUCAUCAAUCUCAACAUAUUAUGCCAGCUUAAUUUCUCAAAAGUGCACAUCCAAAAAACCCUUUUUUUAG
rnacentral:rRNA from 1 species